UUCAUUGCUGCUGCAGGGGAGACGCUUUCUCCCUUCUCCCGUGGUCCCGUGGGGCACCAUGCUGUGGCCCCAGCCUGAGGCAGGAAGGGCAUUUGACCCACCUGCACAGCUAGGGGAAGGAGGGCUCUUUGGCCUUUCCACUAUUCUCUCUGACUGGCGGGAGAUGCACCAACCGCGGGGCUUCCAGAAUCCGGGGAGCCCCAAAGGCAGUGGGGAGAUGAUGACAGAGGAUGGAGAAGGCCAACCUGCGUCUUAACCUCGUCAGCCUAGGGACAACACACGUCACUACAGCUCAUAUUCCACUGACAUGAGCCAGUCACUUAGAACCACCUGGGUGACAAGGGAAGAUGGCGUUGAGAGAGUUCCUGCUUCCGCUCUGUGGAGACUGCACCGACGCAGAGGUAGAAGCAGCGAGGACUGUCAGGAGGCGACGGUGGCUCCCAGCAGCCGAUGGUGUCUCUAGUGGGCAGGAGCACUCGGGCUGGUGGGAAGUGGCCAGAGUGUGGGUGUGUUUUGCCAGUUGAGUCCACGGGGCUACCGGGUAAAUUAUUGAAGCCUGACAUAGAGGAGCCAAGGAUGGAGUUGUCGAAACUGAAAUGAGGGAGCUCGUGGGUGCGGCAGGUUCGGGGGAGGAGUGGGGAGACUGAGGCUCCUCUUCGGACCUGCUGAACGGGAGAUAACUACUGACAGACAAGCUGUUGAGUCGAGAAGCCCGAGGGUGCUUUCCGGGUGUGUACAGUGUCUUGUACAGGUUCGGCUCUGCCAGCAGGCUGGUGCUCAGCAGCUACGCCAGGGGAAAGGUGGUGACUGUCCCCGUUUGUAAAGCCAUCUAGCUCCUUCACUCUUCAGUCAGCAGAGGGGACAAGGGACGUGGGUAUUGCGCACAGGGCGUGAGCAUCCCUUCCGCCUUUGGAGAGAGGCUUAUACACAGGAUGUGCGAUGACCUUGUAAGGGACAGUUUCCCUCUGCGGGACUUAAAUUCACAUGGAGGUGUUGACCGACCAGCUGAAUACCAUGGUUCGGGCCUCACGGAUCUCAGUUUGCCUGGCUCUUUAUAUUUGGGUAGGCUAGCAUAAUAGCCUGCUCAAAGAGAAAUAUUAAGGGGAAACUGAUGUAUAACCUUGUCAUGCUAAUUACAAAGACAUAUUUUUUAUUUGUUGU